rnacentral:lncRNA from 1 species
CUGAUACACAGACACUAAAAAGGGAAAGGGUUUGGAUGAGAAGCUCUGCUAUGUAAUCAAGAAUCUCAGCCACUCAUUUCUGUAGGAGCUGCAGGAGCUCCCUGUAAAGAGAGGUUAUGGAGUCUGUAGCUUCAGGCAACCACUGAUCCACUUCCAGUGGCUAUCUGUGAGUUUUUAUUUCCAAAUACAUGAAAUCAUAGG